AUGACGAUCCUAUGUUGGAACUGCCGGGGACUGGGCCACCCCGGGACAGUUCGUGAGCUUGUGUGCCUAGUGCGCACGUACCGCCCCUCUGUCGUGUUCAUCUCUGAGACGCGGCAGUGUGAGGAGAGCGUCAAAAGAAUAAGAUGGAGGCUGGGCCUCAAAAACUGCAUCACCCACGAUGGCAUGGGAAAAGGUGCUGGUAUAGCCCUGUUUUGGGAUGAAAGUGUUGAAAUAAAAUUACUCUCCUAUGGUUUGAGGUAUAUUGAUGUGCAUAUGCGUAUGGAUCCCCAUGGCCCGAUGUGGCGGGGUACCUUUGUGUACGGCGAGCCUAGAGCACAUGAGAGGCAUAACAUGUGGAACCUGCUGAAAAGAAUAAAACCAAAAUCGAUUGAGCCGUGGAUGAUGAUAGGAGACUUCAAUGAAACAUUAUGGCAAAGUGAACAUUUCUCUGCAGCAAAAAGAUCUGAAAGGUAUAUGGGCAAUUUCAGAGAUGUACUGGCAUACUGUAAUCUUCAUGAUCUGGGUUACCAUGGUUGGUAG
rnacentral:rRNA from 1 species